CCUACGGGAGGCUGCAGUGAGGAAUAUUGGUCAAUGGCCGGAAGGCUGAACCAGCCAUGCCGCGUGAAGGUCAGUGCCCUCCGGGUUGUAAACUUCUUUUAUAAAGGAAUCAAGUGAGGCACGUGUGCCCUUUUGUAUGUACUUUAUGAAUAAGGAUCGGCUAACUCCGUGCCCGCAGCCGCGGUAAUACGGAGGAUCCGAGCGUUAUCCGGAUUUUUUGGGUUUAAAGGGAGCGUAGAUGGGUUGUUAAGUCAGUUGUGAUAGUUUGCGGCUCAACCGUAAAAGUGCAAUUGAUACUGGCAGUCUUGAGUACAGUGGAGGUAGGCGGAAUGCGUGGUGUAGCGGUGAAAUGCUUAGAUAUCACGAAGAACUCCGAUUGCGAAGGCAGCUUACUAAACUGCCACUGACAUUGAGGCUCGAAAGUGUGGGUAUCAAACAGGAUUAGAUACCCGAGUAGUC
rnacentral:rRNA from 1 species